UGGGGAAUCUUGCGCAAUGGGCGAAAGCCUGACGCAGCAACGCCGCGUGCGGGAAGAAGGCCCUCGGGUUGUAAACCGCUUUCAGCAGGAACGAAAAUGACGGUACCUGCAGAAGAAGGUGCGGCCAACUACGUGCCAGCAGCCGCGGUGACACGUAGGCACCAAGCGUUGUCCGGAUUUAUUGGGCGUAAAGAGCUCGUAGGCGGUUCGGUAAGUCGGGUGUGAAAACUUUGGGCUUAACCCAAAGCGUGCAUCCGAUACUGCUGUGACUAGAGUUCGGUAGGGGAGUGGGGAAUUCCUAGUGUAGCGGUGAAAUGCGCAGAUAUUAGGAGGAACACCGGUGGCGAAGGCGCCACUCUGGGCCGAUACUGACGCUGAGGAGCGAAAGCGUGGGUAGCAAACAGG
rnacentral:rRNA from 1 species